GGCCCGGGGCGACCGGCCGAUCGGUGCCCCGCCGGGGCCGGGGCGGACUCGUUUCAGAUGAGUCGCCGGCGCAGUCCGGCCGGGGCCU
rnacentral:tRNA from 1 species